ACCCCUAGCAAAUCUCAAAAAACCGUCUCAGUUCGGAUUGUACUCUGCAACUCGAGUACAUGAAGGUGGAAUCGCUAGUAAUCGUAGAUCAGAACGCUACGGUGAAUACGUUCCCGGGCCUUGUACACACCGCCCGUCACACCAUGGGAGUUGGUUUUACCCGAAGGCGUUUCGCUAACCGCAAGGAGGCAGGCGACCACGGUAGGGUCAGCGACUGGGGUGAAG
rnacentral:rRNA from 1 species